GACGAACCGUGCGAACGUUGUUCGGAUUCACUGGGCUUAAAGGGCGCGUAGGCGGGCCAGCAUGUCCGGGGUGAAAUCUUUCGGCUUAACCGGAAAAGGGCUUCGGAAACGGCUGGUCUUGAGGGAGGUAGGGGCAGGUGGAACUUCCGGUGGAGCGGUGAAAUGCGUUGAGAUCGGAAGGAACGCCGGUGGCGAAAGCGACCUGCUGGACCUCUUCUGACGCUGAGGCGCGAAAGCCAGGGGAGCAAACGGG
rnacentral:rRNA from 2 species